AUUGCGCCCCGACUUGAACGGAGCUCAUUUUUUUAUUGCAAUGUCCGAAAUUUCUAUUGUCGGACUAACUUUCUUUGCAAUAAAAAAAUAGCGGGAGUGGAAGGCGGAUAAAGGC
rnacentral:misc_RNA from 1 species